GACUCUUUGCUUUAUAAAGAGCCUAAUCUGCCCCAUGGGAAACUAAAUGGCCGCAGUAUCCUGACUGUGCAAAGGUAGCAUAAUCACUUGCCUUUUAAUUGAAGGCUGGAAUGAAUGAUUGAACGGGACUUAUCUGUCUUUUAUUAAUUUAAUUGAAAUUAGUUUUUAAGUGAAGAAACUUAAAUUUAAUUGAGUGACAAGAAGACCCUAUCGAGCUUUAUUUAAAAAAUUUGGUUGGGGCAACCCAGGAACAAAAAAAACUUCCUGUCGAUCCAGUCUGACUGAUAACAGAAAAGCUACCGUAGGGAUAACAGCAUAAUUCCUUUUUAGAGUUCUUAUCGAAAAAGGAGGUGUGACCUCGAUGUUGGAUUAAAAUUUCUUUAGGCGCAGCAG
rnacentral:rRNA from 1 species